rnacentral:rRNA from 1 species
UAUUGCACAAUGGGGGAAACCCUGAUGCAGCGACGCCGCGUGAGUGAAGAAGCGUUUCGGCGCGUAAAGCUCUGUCAGCGGGGAAGAAACACGGUUCGCGAGAGCCGAGGACGGUACCCUACCAAGAAGCCCCGGCUAACUACGUGCCAGCAGCCGCGGUAAUACGUAGGGGGCAAGCGUUAUCCGGAUUCACUGGGUGUAAAGGGAGCGUAGACGGCGAAACAAGUCUGGAGUGAAAGCCCGGGGCCCAACCCCGGGACUGCUCUUGGAACUGCGCGGCUGGAGUGCAGGAGGGGCAGGCGGAAUUCCUGGUGUAGCGGUGAGAUGCGUAGAUAUCAGGAGGAACACCGGUGGCGAAGGCGGCCUGCUGGACUGCGACUGACGUUGAGGCCCGAAAGCGUGGGGAGCAAACAGG